GUUGCCGGGGGCGCCUUUGAGCAGAGAGGUGAUUGGGAUGAAGCUGAAGUGAAUCGCAUCAGGCUUGGACGGAACUGUUAGAAGCCACUCGCAGUGGCUUGUACACGAUAAAUCGCCUCCUCUCUUCGAGCACUUCACUGGAGCUUCAUGCAUUGACAGUGGACGAGUGCGAGAGCUGAAACAAUGCCGCCACAUAAAUAAGCAAAUGAUGACCGAACCUACAUCUUUAGGGCCGCUUGUCGAGAUGUCACGGAACGCGAGUGGCUGUGAAUCGAAAACGUUGAAUGCCCGUGGUGUCUGCACAAUUGACGGAUAAUUACGAUACACUCGCAGUCAUGUGGGACCAAUUAAUGAAGUUGGAAUUGUACACUGAGUACCUUGAGUUUGGAUUCCUUGGACUUGCAGUGGAGCGGGGAGAAGGUGCAGGCCCCGUUAAAGAGUUGAUCUCCAAGUUCGUCAAGGUGUUCCUUCAGCUCUGUGGGGGCCAUGUUCGAUGACUUGUCUUGCCUCACUAAUACGAUGUCAUGACCUCCUACGGUCAUUCCCACUAUUACGUGAGUUCCAUACUUCUCGAUGAAUCUGCACUCCCCCGGUAAAAGUUGUAGACAACACAAAUUAUAUGAUGAAUUAGUUUCAAUUAGUGAAAGAUCACCCCCACACUACAUAUGGAUGAAUAAUAUGACAACUAGUUUUGUGAUCAGACAUACUCAAGACCAGAUAUUAUAAGAUCUCGCGGCUAUGAGCGAGCCUUUAACCGAGUUAUGUAACUUUAGCAUGAGACUGAUAUGACGUUGUAUAUUGAUUUUUUGUAGGCCAGGUCUUUAGUUUUGUAGGCCA